ACUGCUAUGGUGUUCAUAACCAGUGAAACUAUCUACACACCAAACAGACUGAAAAAAAAAACACUGAGAAAACAUCUUGGAGCUUGAUUCCAGUCUCUUGUCCUACGUACAUACAUGUCAAUACAAGCAAGAACUGUGGGCAGUGGUAACCUGUUUCCCUGAGGCAUCAGCUGCAGGAAGAAAGGCGCAGAGGGAGGUUCUCAAAAUGCUGAAAGGACCAAGAGUCAGGAAGCAAGAGGAAGAGAAGGAAAAAAACCUAAGAGUCUUCUCUGUGGGGUCAUCAAAAUCUGGACGUAUGAGUUGCUUAUGUUCAUAUAAGCAAGUUCACUACAAGCAAAGUUGUACUAUAAGCACUCUAGGCAAAUUCAUCAUACAAGCAAAAUCAUGGAUGGGAAAAUCUACUAUGAUAAGGCUCUAUCUAAAGACAGCUAUGAAAUGUUCUGAAAGUGAAUAUAGUAGAAGUGGUCAAGACUUCCCAGAUCUUCCAUUUUAAUUUUAACUCAAUUUGAUUCUGCUCUCUCCCUCAUAGACCUAAAGAUGGGUCUUCAGAAACCAUAUAAUCCAAGCCUCUCAUUUUAUAGAUGAAAAAGAGGCCUGAGGAAAAUGAAUGACUUGCCUAAAGCCACAUGGGUUGCAAAUGUCAGAAUUGGGAUCUGAACCAGGUCCCCAGAGGCCACAGCUAGUUCUCUUUCCUCUAUUACAUGCUCCUUCCCAAAAUGGAGAAAUCCAGACAUAUGGGCUGGUAUGACUAUUUUGUCCUCUGGCCUAGGACAAAGGUGUCCAGCUGUAUUAUCUACUGGCUGAUGGCCAGGUCUGAAUGAAAGUUACAAAUGCAGAUGCAUUGUAAAUGACCCCACUAGGACAGUUCUCUGGAAACAGGAUGGAUGGUUUUGUAGAUACACUGACUUCUGCCUUCUGAAAAUGGUAUUUUCAGUAAUACUGAACUGUGAAAAGCUCAACUACACCUCAGUUCUCCUUUGCAAAUAGCAGAGUGCCCAGCAAAGAGCCUGGGAAAUGC